rnacentral:rRNA from 1 species
UACGGAGGAUCCAAGCGUUAUCCGGAUUCAUUGGGUUUAACGGGUGCGUAGGCGGAACGAUAAGUCAGUGGUGAAAGCUUGCAGCUUAACUGUAAAAUUGCCAUUGAAACUGAAAGUCUCGAGUAUGGUUGAGGUGACUGGAAUAUAUCAUGUAGCGGUGAAAUGCUUAGAUAUGAUAUAGAACACCAAUUGCGAAGGCAGGUCACUAAACCAUAACUGACGCUGAGGCUCGAAAGCGUGGGGAUCAAACAGG